UACGAAGGGUGCAAGCGUUAAUCGGAAUUACUGGGCGUAAAGCGUGCGUAGGCGGUUUGUUAAGUCUGUCGUGAAAUCCCCGGGCUCAACCUGGGAAUGGCGAUGGAUACUGGCAAGCUAGAGUGUGAUAGAGGAUGGUGGAAUUCCCGGUGUAGCGGUGAAAUGCGUAGAGAUCGGGAGGAACAUCAGUGGCGAAGGCGGCCAUCUGGAUCAACACUGACGCUGAGGCACGAAAGCGUGGGGAGCAAACAGG
rnacentral:rRNA from 1 species